CGUCACAGGAAGUGCUCAGAACGUUCAUAAAAGCCGCUGCUGGGACUUUUGUCUCAUUACGAACAUAACAGCAGAAGCUUCAGCUCAGUGGAAAGCGCAACAGAACAAACGCCGACAGAACCACUCUUUGAUUUAUUAUUCUGAAUGUUUUUCUGAUUUGUAUUUAGAUAGAAUUGUCUUGUGGUAUAUUUUAGGUGACUUUUCGACACAUUUGCUUGUUUUCCGUCGACGUUUUCCCAUCGAGGUCCUCAAGCUACAGACUGCCUGAUUUUGGCUUAAUCUGAACAAUGGCCAAAGAAGCUCAGCUGCAUGUGGACAUGGCCCAUACUCGUCAAAAUGAAGGAAUCAAUGUGAUUUUUGACCACAACACCCCUGCCUCUGCCCGCUCUCGCUCCAGAAGCAUUGUCAGUUCAUCUUACUCAAGUGCUGACAAAAAACGAGUCCCGCUCGUAUCCUCGCUGCAGGAGACGAUCCUCACGCUGCAGAUGUGCUGACCACCACAGAUAUGGCCGCAGUUAUUAUCGCAGAUCCCCAUCACGCUACCACUCUCGCUCCUCUAGCCGUUCCCCCUCAUCUGAUAGGUCAUCCUAUCGUAGACACCACAGGUCUCACCGCAGAUCCACCUCCAGGUCCCAGUCUAGAUCUCUCACUCAAUGGCGUAGGUACAGGAGAUCUGGAAACCAAUACAGACAUAAAGAUUAUUCAUCGAGAUCCCAUAGGAGCAGGUCGAGAUCCAGGUCUGCUGGGCGUUCCACCAGUCUAACUGUGCAAGAUGAACACAUCAGGGUGUUGAAUUUGGAACUUCGAGAGAGUGUGAAACCAAUUCUGUCCGAGUCCAACGAGUCUUCACCAGAGCCAUAUACAUGGGUGAGGGUGACGCCGAGUCCAGAAAAAGAAGCACUACAGAGCAACGUCGAAGAGUCGGAUGAUGAUUCUUGUCUUAAAUUGUCUCCCAAAAGAGGGAUAAUUUCUUUCAGCAUUAAUAAUUCUGUGGCCAAACCAACACUGACCGCACCAACCGGUGCUAAGGUAACUUCUCGCGUGGACACCUAUGAAGCCAGGAAGCCCUAUGGUCACUGGAUUCCAGUUAAAUCAGGCCGCAAACGCACUUCAGCCAAGCGCUAGUGCUGCUUGUGUACAUGGACUGUUUGUUUUGUACACAAGAGUGAUUUAAGUGGAAGAGUUGAACAUUUUUCUGAGGUGGGAACAUUUCUUUCCUUUACUUUGUAUUGUGUGCGCAUAAGUUUAAUAAAUAAAUUUUACCUGAAAGCUGAC
rnacentral:lncRNA from 1 species